rnacentral:lncRNA from 1 species
AGGAAUUGUCCUCAAGGGAGAAAAGGCUUUUAGGGUACAUUUUUGUACUUAUGAAUAAUCCUUCCAGCUUUUGCCUUCCUACCCCAGUGGCCAUUGCACAUGGUGAAUAUUCCAGGCCCUGCCAUCAUCUAAAAGGAGGGGAGAACAAACCAGAGGCUGGAAAGGACUGUCUUUGAUAGAAAGUUGAAGAUGGAUCUCUGCUGUGCCUUCUUUGCCCCUGAGUUCAUGGCUAGUCCUUCAUUAUGAAGAGGUGGCGCAGACUCCGGAGCCAGGCGGGGGACAGGAGAGCCAUCGGUGGAGAGAUUUCAAAAACCUUCAGGAAGCCACGGGCGUAUCGUUGUUUUCCACCCUGCUUCUUUGAAUUUUCUGAAAAU